rnacentral:rRNA from 1 species
GAUUCCCCCAGUAACUGCGAGUGAAGAGGGAAGAGCUCAUCAUUGGAAUCUGGCGGUGUUGCACCGUCCGAGUUGUAGAUGAGGAGUGGUUCAUCUGGACUGCAUGGCGUCCAAGUACAAUAGGCCGUCAGUGGGACAUCAUAGAGGGUGACAAUCCCGUCCUUGAUGCCAAUGUGCAAGUCCAUUACGAUGGCUAUCUCAGAGAGUCGAGCAGUUUGGGAUUUGCUGCUUAAACAUGGGAGGUAGAUUCCUUCUAAAGCUAAAUACAGGCGAGAGACCGAUAGAGAACAAGUACCGCAAGGGAAAGAUGAAAUAGCACUCUGUGAAGGGAGUCAAAAGGCGUGAAAUUGUUGCGAGAGAAGCGAUUCAAGUCAGCGUAGCUAGGCCCAUUAAGCCUCUUUGCGCUUUGGACUAGCUUUGCCAGCGGUCUUGUCCUUAGAGACUUGACUUGUAUGUCCAGCCUGGUAUGCACAGGUAGCCCUCCGGGGUCAGUGACAUGGCUGGUGGAAUGGCUUGCAAUCGACCCGUCUUGAAACACGGACCAAGGAGUCUAACAUGUAUGCGAGUAUAAGGGUGGCAAACCCGUAUGCGCAAUGAAAGUGAUUUUCGGUGAUUGAGAAUGGCCUGACGACCCAGACAAGCAAUAUAUGUCCCUCGGACGGCCAUUGCCCAAGUUCCGUGGUAGAUCCCACGAACAUGGAGUUGGAGCAUACAUGCUAGGACCCGAAAGAUGGUGAACUAUGCCUGGACAAAGCGAAGCCAAAGGAAACUCUGGUGGAGGCUUGUAGCGAUUCUGACGUGCAAAUCGAUCGUCUGAUCUGGGUAUAGGGGCGAAAGACUAAUCGAACCAUCUCAUAGCUGGUUCCUGCCGAAGUUUCCCUCAGGAUAGCAGAGACCUAGUGGAAGUUGCAUGUGGUAAAGCGAAUGAUUAUUGAUCCUGGGGCUCAAAUGGGCCUCAGUCUAUUCUCAAACUGUGAAUGCGUGCGGUUGGACUGUGCUUAGCAAUAGAAGCCCUGCCAGCAAUGCUUCAGUCUCUAGUGGGCCGUUUCUGGUAAGCAGAACUGGCGAUGCGGGAUGAACCGAAAGUGAGGUUAAAGUGCCAGAAUGCACACUAACCAGAGAUAAAAGGUGUAUGUGCAUGGACACAGCAGGGCAGUGGCCAUGGAGG